GGGUGCCCUGGAGGAGGAAAUGGCAACCCACUUCAGUAUUCUUGCCUGGGAAAUUCCAUAGACAGAGGAGCCUGGUGAGCUACAGUCUAUGGGGUCACAAACGGUAGAACAAGGCUGAUCAUGCAUACACACACACACACACACACACACACACAUUCAUCCAGGUAUGGCCAGGAUUAAAUGUUAAUCUGCAUAAAAUGGUUUUGAACAAGAAACCUAACACAUGGAAGAUCACAAUGUCAAAAGCUGAAGAAGGAUGGGGGCGUCCGUGCCUCAGGAGGCAUUCUUUGAGUCUUUGCAAAGGACAGUGACUUUCAAGCCUGCGGGAAGGAAGUGAGUGAGCACAAGACUGUAGCCCAAGCUCCUCUGUCCUUGGGAUUCUACAAGCAAGAAUACUGGAGGGGG